rnacentral:misc_RNA from 1 species
GGCUCUUGACAAUGAAUCUGAUUUUGUAUGUGAAGAUAGGGUGGAAAAUGAGCAAACAUUUCUUCAUCAUAUUUUGGGGAAUAUCGAGGAUCUAAAAUGUUCGCUCAGAGAAUGUGAGGAUGAUAAGCAGCAGGUAUUUAUUGAAAACUCUGUUCUCGUAACUUUACUUACACAGCUGAAAUCAGAGGCCUUUGAACUUGAUUCAGUGAAGAAAUCUGUAGAGAAGGAGUUCAAUAUCAUGGCAGAGAAGCUUGUCACAGUGCAGAAAGACAAUCAUGAACUUCUGGAGAUGAAUAAGAAACUGGGACUGGAAGUGAGCAAAGGCAGUCAACUAACCGCUGUACUUGAUGCAGAGGUUGGGAGUCUCUGUGUCAAGCAUGAUCAGUUGCAGACAGUUUAUGUUGGAUUAAAAAAGAAAUACUCCCAAGUUCUUGAGGAGAAUAGAACUUUGUUGCAAAAGAUCACAGAGAUCAGGGAGGAGAAAUUGAUGGUAAGGCAGGAAAAUGAUACACUCUUACUCGAUACACUUGCUCUUAGCAAUCUCUCUACAGUUUGGAGUAGUUUUGGUAGCGAGAAAUCUGCUGAGCUGAAGUCAAUAUCUGAAGAUAUGCACAGUCUUCAUGGUAUUAUCAGUGACUUUGACAAGGAAAUGGGCAUAUUGAAGGAGAAGCUGGAAAUGAAGGAAACUGAAAACUUACUCCUGAAGGAAUCAGUUCAAAGGCUGGAAGAGGACCUCUAUGAAGCAAGGGAAUCAAACAAUCAUUUGAAGUUGGAACUUUCCACUGGAAAAGAAAUAAUUGAUAAGCAGGAAGCAGGACUCUUGGAAGCCAAGCAGAAGCUUAUAGCAUCUGAGAAUUUGAACUCGGAAUUGUGUACGACUCUGGAUGUGCUAAAAACUGACCGUCAAGAAUCCAUACUGACAAAUGAAAUUCUAGAAAAGAAGAUGCUUGAAAUAUCAAGUACAAAUACCACUCAAAACCAAGAAAUUGAAGUCCUUCGGGAAGUGAAUAUGAACUUGGUAGCUGAAAUGGGUAAGUUGCAUGAAGAAAUUGAAGAGCAACGAAUGCGAGAAGAAUAUCUGAGUUCGGAGCUUCAAGAGAAGAACUGUGAGUUUGAACUAUGGGAGGCAGAGGCAGCAACCUUUUAUUUUGAUCUCCAGAUCUCCUCCGUUCGUGAAGUGCUACUGGAAAACAAAAUGAAUGAGUUGAAUGAGGUGUGUGAAAGACUCGAGGAUAAAAAUGCUUCCAAGGGUUUGGAGAUUCAGCGAAUGAAAGGAAAAAUGAUCUCGAUGGAAGGUGAAAUUGGAGAACUGAAGUCACAGUUACACUCAUAUGCUCCUGUAAUUGCUUCUCUGAGGGAUGACAUUGUUUCACUUGAGCAUAAUGCUCUGCUCCUCAUGAAAUUUAAUCUAGCUCGAUCUCAGGAAGCAAAGUGUGUUGAAAUUGAGGUUCAGUCCGGUCAAAUUAGCUCCAACAAGCUGACAGAUGGUCAUUCUAUCAUGCCAAAAGGCGUUCUUGAUUUGCAAGAGCUGAGGACUAGGGUUAAAGCAGUUAAGAAAGUAGUGGAAGGCAUGAACAGGCCUGUUUUGCAUCAGCCUUUACACAUAAAGCCUGGUCGAGAUAGUACUGCAAGUGAAAUUGAGUCGAUAAAAUCUCGGCCCAGUUUGGAUCGAGAAAAACAUGAGGUUGCAGGAAGGAGGAGUCACCAAAAGGAGCAUGAAGAUGACCGUAAUCGACGGAAGGCAAAACCCAAGUCCUUUGAAGCCAAAAAUGGGACACUGAUGAAAGAUAUACCACUUGAUCAUGUUUCUGAUAGCUCACCAGAAAGAAUUAAAAGAGCUCAUUCUGCGGCAGAGAGAGUAGAUGAUCAGAUGCUUGAGCUGUGGGAAACUGCAGAAGGCGGCAGCCUCAGUCGUAGCGUGAAUGAUUUGAAGAAACGGGCAAAUCAUCCAACAAUGGGGGUCCCUAUCAUGCACAACCAAUUUAGGAACUUGGAGUGGAGGGGCAAACAUCCACCUACAGAAUCAGAAGUGGAGAAGGAGUUGGGUGUGGACAAAUUGGAGUUAUCAAUGAACUCAUCUGAGGCAAAUCAAGAAAUGAACAAGAAGAUUCUCAAGCGACUUGCUUCCGAUGCAGAGAAAUUGAUGAGUCUCCAAUUGACUGUUGAUAGUCUGAGAAGAAAUUUGGAGGCAAACAAAAAGGCCAAAAAACCCAAAAAUUUUGAUUUUGAAACAGUUAAGGAGCAGCUACAAGAAGUCGAGGAAACAGUCGUACAUCUGGUGAAUUUGAAUAGCCAAUUGAUGAAGAAUACAGAGGAAAGCACAUCCUAUUCUCCAAGCAGUGGUUCAGCAGACUCGAUAGAGGUGAUGAGUACCCGUCAGAAGCGAGUGUCAGAACAGGCAAGAAAAGGGUCUGAGAAGAUAGGACGGUUGCAGCUAGAGGUUCAGAAAAUUCAGUACAUUUUGCUGAAACUGGAUGACGAAAAGAAAAGCAAAGUUAGGAGCAAAUUUUCCAGGAGCAGCACGGGGAUCAUACUGAAGAACUUCAUCCAUAUCGGGAGGAGGAACAGCGAGAAGAAAAAGAAGAGUCCUAUGUGUUGCUUUAGACCUUCAAGUAGCAGCAGCAGCAAUAAUGGCAGCAUCAGAUAUCGCGUCUAAUGGUUCUAACUUUUCUUGAAAAAACUGAUUCUUGUUUAGUUUUAGGGGGAAGUGUUAAAGAGUUAGGUUGGAUCUUAUUCCAAAUAAGCUUUGUUCUCAUGGCUAUUAUUUCAGUUUUUUAGACUUUUAACUGCCUAAAGAAUUUUAGCAAUGCUGUUGUGUUUUGUAAUUUUAAUCUUUCUGAAAGUGUUAUCAGUUUGAUGGUGUAUCUAAUAUUAGGUGUUGCAUGG